GGGGCUGUAGCUCAGUGGCAGAGCUCUUGCCUAGCAUGCAUGAGGCACUGGGUUCUGUCCUCAGCACCA
rnacentral:tRNA from 1 species